AGAGUGCAUGGCGGAUGCCUUGGCAUUAGGAGUCGAAGAAGGUCGUGAUAAGCUGCGAUAAGCUUGGGGUAGACGCACAUAGUCUGUGAACCCAAGAUCACCGAAUGAGGCAACUCACUGGGGUAACCCCCAGUAUCCAUAGAUGAAUACAUAGUCUAUAGGAGGACAAACCCAGGGAACUGAAACAUCUAAGUACCUGGAGGAAGAGAAAGAAAUAUCGAUUUCCCUAGUAGCGGCGAGCGAACGGGAAAGAGCCCAAACCGGAAACUUGUUUCCGGGGUUGCGGAAGAUCCAUCUAGUACGGAAAGAAUCGAGCAGAAUACAGCUGGAAAGCUGAACCGCAGAAGGUAAUAGUCCUGUAUGCGAACGAGGAAAGCCCGAAGGAUCUAUCCAGAGUACCACGAAACACGUGAAACUUUGUGGGAAGCAGGGAGGACCACCUCCCAAGGCUAAAUACUACCUAAUGACCGAUAGCGAACAAGUACCGUGAGGGAAAGGUGAAAAGAACCCCGGGAGGGGAGUGAAAUAGAACCUGAAACCGUGCACUUACAAACGGUCAAAGCACUAUUAUAAAGUGUGAUGGCGUGCUUUUUGUAGAACGAGCCAACGAGUUACGAUAUGUAGCAAGGUUAAGUACUUCAGGUACGGAGCCGAAGGGAAACCGAGUCUUAAUAGGGCGAAUAGUUGCAUGUCGUAGACCCGAAACCGGGUGACCUAUCCAUGGCCAGGUUGAAGCGAGAGUAAAAUCUCGUGGAGGACCGAACUAAAUUGAUGUUGAAAAAUCAUGAGAUGAGCUGUGGAUAGCGGAGAAAUUCCAAUCGAACCCGGAGAUAGCUGGUUCUCCUCGAAAUAGCUUUAGGGCUAGCGUCGGAUAUGAGUUAUGGAGGUAGAGCACUGAAUGGGCUAGGGGGCAUAUCGCUUACCGAACCUUAUCAAACUCCGAAUGCCAUAAACUAUGAGUCCGGCAGUCAGACUGUGUAAGAUAAGUUUCAUAGUCGAAAGGGAAAAAGCCCAGACCGUCAGCUAAGGUCCCAAAGUAUAGGUUAAGUGGAAAAGGAUGUAGGAUUUCUAAGACAACUAGGAUGUUGGCUCAGAAGCAGCCACUCAUUAAAAGAGUGCGUAAUAGCUCACUAGUCGAGAGAUCCCGCGCCGAAGAUGUCCGGGGCUAAAACCUAUCACCGAAGCUACGGGUGGAAACGCAAGUUUCCGCGGUAGAGGAGCGUCCUGUAUUGGCUGAAGCCAUACCGUAAGGAGUGGUGGACGAUACAGGAGUGAGAAUGUUGGCAUAAGUAGCGAGAUGCAGGUGAGAAUCCUGCAGGUCGAAAAUCUAAGGUUUCCUGAGGAAGGUUCGUCCGCUCAGGGUUAGUCGGGUCCUAAGCCCAGGCCGAAAGGCGUAGGUGAUGGACAAUCGGUUGAUAUUCCGAUACCACUACGAAGCGUUUGACCGAAGGGGUGACGCAGGAGGAUAAGAUGUGCGUACGAUUGGAUUGUACGUCUAAGCAUCAAGGAAGGGCAGGGAGGCAAAUCCCCCGGCCCGCUAAUUCUAAGAUGUUACGGGGAGGGACCCACGGGUCCCGAGUAUCUGAUUUCACGCUGCCAAGAAAAGCCUCUAGGGAGCUAGCGUAGUGCCCGUACCGCAAACCGACACAGGUAGAUGAGGAGAGAAUCCUAAGACCAUCGGAAGAAUUGUUGUUAAGGAACUCGGCAAAUUAACCCCGUAACUUCGGGAGAAGGGGUGCCAGAGCAAUCUGGUCGCAGUGAAAUGGCCCAAGCAACUGUUUAGCAAAAACACAGGUCUCUGCUAAAGCGAAAGCUGAAGUAUAGGGGCUGACGCCUGCCCGGUGCUGGAAGGUUAAGGGGAUUACUUAGCGCAAGCGAAGGUAUGAACUUAAGCCCCAGUAAACGGCGGCCGUAACUAUAACGGUCCUAAGGUAGCGAAAUUCCUUGUCAGGUAAGUUCUGACCCGCACGAAUGGCGUAAUGACUUGGGCACUGUCUCAACAACAAAUCCGGCGAAAUUGUAGUGCAAGUGAAGAUGCUUGCUACCCGCGAUUGGACGGAAAGACCCCGUAGAGCUUUACUGUAGCUUAGCAUUGAGUUUCGAUAUUGUCUGUACAGGAUAGGUGGGAGACUGGGAAAGGGGAUCGUCAGGUCCUCUGGAGUCACCCUUGGGAUACCACCCUGGCAGUAUUGGAAUUCUAACCGGUGACCAUAAACUGGUCACGGGACAUUGUUAGGUGGGCAGUUUGACUGGGGCGGUCGCCUCCUAAAAAGUAACGGAGGCGCCCAAAGGUUCCCUCAGAACGGUCGGAAAUCGUUCGUAGAGUGCAAAGGCAGAAGGGAGCCUGACUGCGACACAUACAGGUGGAGCAGGGACGAAAGUCGGGCUUAGUGAUCCGGUGGUACCUCGUGGGAGGGCCAUCGCUCAACGGAUAAAAGCUACCUCGGGGAUAACAGGCUAAUCUCCCCCAAGAGUCCACAUCGACGGGGAGGUUUGGCACCUCGAUGUCGGCUCGUCGCAUCCUGGGGCUGAAGUAGGUCCCAAGGGUUGGGCUGUUCGCCCAUUAAAGCGGCACGCGAGCUGGGUUCAGAACGUCGUGAGACAGUUCGGUCCCUAUCCGUCGCGGGCGUAGGAAAUUUGAAGGGAGCUGUCCUUAGUACGAGAGGACCGGGAUGGACCAACCUCUGGUGCACCAGUUGUCACGCCAGUGGCAUAGCUGGGUAGCUAAGUUGGGACAGGAUAAACGCUGAAAGCAUCUAAGCGUGAAGCCUACCCUAAGAUAAGAUUUCCCAUAGCGUAAGCUAGUAAGAUCCCUUGAAGAACACGAGGUUGAUAGGUGAGAGGUGUAAGUGCAGCAAUGCAUUCAGCUUACUCAUACUAAUAGAUCGAGGGCUUGAUCU
rnacentral:rRNA from 1 species